GACCGGAUAGCGUAUCGGUAACACAUCUGCCGGUACAGAGGGGCCUGACGUGUUGCAGACGAGCCCUGUUCGACUCUGGGUCUGGUCA